rnacentral:tRNA from 1 species
UGGUCAUAACAUUUGGCUCCGGAUCGAAAUUAAGGUCAUGGGUUCGAAUCCCAGUC